rnacentral:rRNA from 1 species
AGUGAACGCUGGCGGUAGGCCUAACACAUGCAAGUCGAACGGCAGCACAGUAAGAGCUUGCUCUUACGGGUGGCGAGUGGCGGACGGGUGAGGAAUACAUCGGAAUCUACUUUUUCGUGGGGGAUAACGUAGGGAAACUUACGCUAAUACCGCAUACGACCUACGGGUGAAAGCAGGGGAUCUUCGGACCUUGCGCGAUUGAAUGAGCCGAUGUCGGAUUAGCUAGUUGGCGGGGUAAAGGCCCACCAAGGCGACGAUCCGUAGCUGGUCUGAGAGGACGAUCAGCCACACUGGAACUGAGACACGGUCCAGACUCCUACGGGAGGCAGCAGUGGGGAAUAUUGGACAAUGGGCGCAAGCCUGAUCCAGCCAUACCGCGUGGGUGAAGAAGGCCUUCGGGUUGUAAAGCCCUUUUGUUGGGAAAGAAAAGCAGCAGGUUAAUACCCCGCUGUUCUGACGGUACCCGAAGAAUAAGCACCGGCUAACUUCGUG